UCGGGGCAGGGUGAGUCGACCCCUAAGGCGAGGCCGAAAGGCGUAGUCGAUGGGAAACAGGUUAAUAUUCCUGUACUUGGUGUUACUGCGAAGGGGGGACGGAGAAGGCUAUGUUGGCCGGGCGACGGUUGUCCCGGUUUAAGCGUGUAGGCUGGUUUUCCAGGCAAAUCCGGAAAAUCAAGGCUGAGGCGUGAUGACGAGGCACUACGGUGCUGAAGCAACAAAUGCCCUGCUUCCAGGAAAAGCCUCUAAGCAUCAGGUAACAUCAAAUCGUACCCCAAACCGACACAGGUGGUCAGGUAGAGAAUACCAAGGCGCUUGAGAGAACUCGG
rnacentral:rRNA from 1 species